GACGAACGCUGGCGGCGUGCCUAAUACAUGCAAGUAGAACGCCGAUGCGAAGGGGUGAGUAAAGUGUCGGUAACUGCCCCAUAGCGGGGGAUAACUUUUGGGCAAGAUAGCUAAUACCGCAAUUUGUGAGACAGACCUGCGUUGUUUUGGCGAGUUGGUGAGGUAAAGGCCACCCAAGGCGACGAUACAGAGCCGACCUGAGAGGGUGAUCGGCUACACUGGGAGUGAGACACGGCCCAGACUCCUACGGGAGGCAGCAGUUGGGAUACUUCGGCAAUGGACGGAAGUCUGACCGAGCAACGCCGCGGGAGGGAAGAAGGUUUUCGGAUCGUAAAGCUCUGUUGUUAGAGAAGCGGUAACUAACCAGAAAGGGACGGCUAACUACGUGCCAGCCGCCGCGGUAAUUC
rnacentral:rRNA from 1 species